CGGGGAUGGGCGGGGCUUCGUCUGCGCUAUUGUCAUGGAAACGACAAGCCAGAGGCAGCGUUGGCUGGUCCUGCAGGCGGAGAAGGCUGCAAGCCCGCGGAGACAGGAGCGAGGCGGAGUGCCCUGGACGGCUGGAACGUGGAGAAACCAUGGCGGCCGCUCCAGCUCACCCUCCUGGGCUCGUUGCUGGCCCAGGUCGUGGUGGGGAGCGCCCCGGAGCGUCCCCGCCCUGCUCCCUUGGCUCCCGCCUCCUGCGGCCGUGCAGCGCCUCCUCGCCCGCCCCCGGCUCCGCCCGCCGUCGCUACAGCUCCUCGCGCUAACGGUCGGUGGCAGCCCGCGUGCGCCGCCCUCCGGGGGCUCGCGCCUGCCACGAGGGAGCGUCCGCGGCCCGUGCGCCCAGCCGCAGAGGAGAGGUGAGCCCCGGCCGGGCCGCGUCCCCUGCCUGCCGCGCAGCCGGCCUCCGCGCGGGGACCGUCUCUGUGUCCCCUCGUGGGCCAGGAGGACGUGGCGCGGCCCGGUUUGUGGACUGCGGGAGUAUCCGACCCGCCUCUGUGGGUGUCACCGGGUGUCGGCCGGCGCGCGUGGGCGUGUCCUCCCGGUCCACGCGUGUUCUCUCCAUCACUGUCGCCUUUCGUUCGGGACGACGGUUUCAGAAAUGGAGCCAUGGAGCACACAGUUCAUAACAGAGCUACUGUGCUGGUUAUUGGAAGGAGGAGAUUCAGAAAAUAGUGAGAAGCUUUCUUAUUCAAACUUCUUUCAAACUCAGCGCAUAAAAAUAGCAGACCAUUUCCACUUGUGGGUUUUUGAAACUGGAAAUUUAUUUUUCUGAUGAAGAAACUGAGGCCCGGGAAGAUGAAAUGACUUUCCGGUCUCACAGUGGAGCUCAGGCUGGCCUCAAGUCACAGUCUUCCUGCCUCCCCCACCCACCAAGCGCUGGAAUUACAGGAUCCUGUUGUGCAGCCCGGGCUGGCCUGGAACUUCACAGUCCUCCUGCCUCCAGCAUCCUGAGUGUUUGCAUUGCAGGGAACAAUGUUUGUGAUGCUGCUACAGUAGACCUUUGAUGAUGUCAAUAAGGAGACAUCCCCACUUUCUUUGGUUAAAAGUCUCAGAGACUUUAAGGAUCGCUGCCUGCCAAGAAGAAAGCAUGGUGAACCACAAGCUGUUGCUAUUUCACUGAACCACUCCACAGAUGGUCCAUGGCUGCUGAGCAGAGUGAACCUCAGGAUAGACUGCACUGGUCCCCGACAAGGCCACCCUCACCAGCAGAUGAGGUGUUAAUGGAUUAUUCCUGGUAAUGGGUUUCCCUUCGUCUCUUUAUUAAAUUCCAAGCUGUUACCUAGACUACAUCCCACUAUAUCUAAUUAAUGUACUAAUCAACUUUGUUUUGAAUGGAAAUGAAGAAAAUCUGUUGAUACUCCUGCUGGCAGAAUAAGAAAUAUGCCUACUGUGGAGUAUCUUUUUCCAUUAUGAAGAAAAUUUAAUCUCUGUCAUCCUCAAAAGUGAAAAAUUAUUUUGUAGUUGGAUUCCUGCUUGUAUGGCUUGGGGUUAUCCUAGUUUCCAAGUGACUAUUUGUUUCAGAAAGAUUCUCUCCAGAAGCCAUUCAUAAGGCUGUUAAAUUCUUUAAUAAAGAAUUGGAAGCCAAAUUAACUAGGCUAGAAACACGGAUAAUCAGUUGGCAGUAGACUGAUGUCCAGCCCCCUGAAUUUUUAACUGCUGCAGAACUGAGUGACCCAGCUGUGGGUCCCACUCCAAGUCUUCCAAUCUGAGAGCAGCCACCAUGCCAUCAUCUCACUCUGUCCUCCAGUUGUCUUGUGUAUCUCCCAGCAUCCAUAUGUGUGAUCCCUCCACACAGCGAUGCCCUCUGAUGACAUAUUGAGCAUGACAGCCAUGAGAGCCAUGAGCAUGUCCCAGCCACUGUGCUAUACCUUUAAAUCUUCUGUUCCAAUGACAACCAUUUGAAAAUGGGAAGAAUAAUCCCAUUUUUCACAUUUCAAAAUAAGACUUUGGAUAGAUUAUGUAUCUUGUCUGUAGCCACACAGCUACUAAUUGGUGAAGUAAGGAUUUUUGUCCACUUCCUACCCAAACCCCAGCCAUCAACUCUGUCAUCUCUAUUAAGAUUCUGGCUUCCCUAAAUAAAUACAUGAAAAAAUGUUCAACAUCACUGGUCAUUCGAGAGAUGCAAAUGAAAACAAAGCUGAGAUUCCACCUCACCCUGGAAAGAAUGGCUGCUAUCAUGAAAUCAACCAAUAACACAUGCUGGCAGGGCUGUGGGGAAAGAGGAACCCUGCUCCACUGCUGGUAGGAGUGUAGACUGGUGCAACCACUGUGGAAAUCAGUAUGGAGAUACCUCAAAGAACUAGGACUGGAAGUCCCAUUCAACCCAGGUAUUCCCCUGCUGGGGAUCUACCACAAAGAAUUAAAAGAAUCAUACCACAGUGAUAUAUGUGCACCCAUGUUCAUAGCAGCACAGUUUGUAAUAGCUAAAACUUGGAAACAGCCCAAAUGCCCAUCAACUGGAGAUUGGAUAAAGAAAAUGUGGGUUUUUUUUUAUAAAAUGGAGUAUUACUCAGCCAUAAAAAAUGAGAAAUUAGAGACAUUUAUAGCUAAGUGAAUGCACAUUGAGGCGAUACUCUUAAGUGAAAUAAAUAGGACACACAUGUAUAAAUUCCGAAUAGUUUCUCUGGUGUGAGAAACUGAAAGUGUAAAUAAGGACUAAAUGUAUAAUAGGUCAUGUGAAAUAGAAAGAAAAGGGGCAAAGGGGAAGGAAGUGGGAGGACUAGGGGAAAGGAUAGAAGGGAAUGGGAUUAAUAUGAGAAAAUGGAAAAAUAGGAACAAAAUCUUUGUAAAUA
ensembl:lncRNA